UAUUAAUUAAAUUUAGAUAAUUUUGUAUUUAUUUAUAUAAUAAAUUUUUUUUAUGACCAAUCGGAUUGAGGUCUGACUUGAGUAGAACAUUUUGAUCCUUGUUGUACCUUUACUUUUUCAGGUUUGAUACAUGAGCUAGGUUCUAAAUAUUGGUCCGACUCCAGGUACAAUAUCAAUCCAAAUGCUUGUUCAGUAAAAAAUUUAAAAUUUCCCCUUUUGUUCUUCCUUGUAAACUCUAGUUAUUAUUCAUAGUUUACUUUGGUUGUAAUGCAUUUCAGCGAUACUCGUCAUUCUAGCUAUUUUUUGUUCAUAGCAUUAAGACAUUAUGGUAAUUCUAAGAUAGUUUUACUAGCAUUCUUGCAAUCCUUGUUUUGUAGGUCAAGAAUCUCAACAUAGCCUUUUAAUGCAAACCAUUUUCAAAAUGUGAGAACUAAAAACAAAUAGCAUUAGUUCCCUUCAAAUGUUUUGGCACACGCUUUAAAGCUUCCUAAGGUUUUUUGCAAGAUUUGCCACAUUCUUGAUUAUUCACUAGCUGACUGUGCUAAAUCAAGUCUAGUACAAAUCAUAGAUGAAUGUACUGCAUUGGAAUAAGGCAUAGAUUUCAUCUUUUGUUUUUCAACAUCAAAUUUUGAACACUGAUCAGCAGAAUACAUAAACUGUUCUUUUGCCAAAGGCAGACUAUACUGAAAAACAUUUUAGCAGUUUAAGUACAUAUCCCUUCUUCUAAAGUAAUAAAUUUCUGCUUUUCCUAUCCCUUAAUUAUAGUCCCACCUAUUAUCUUAGAGAAAAUUUGGCUUUUUAUGAAUUAAAAAAAAAAAGGUAAAUCAGUCUAACUGCUACGAUGCGUAUGAUUAAGCCCCCAUUUCUUCAAAUUAAUGUGUGGAAUAAUUUUUUUUUUUUUGAAAAUGAGUGGUUGAAAAAGAAGGAAUUUUUUUUUUGAUUUACGUGUAAUAUUAUUUUAUAAAAGAUUGUGUGAUUGAAAAUAAAAGAGAGAAAACUAUAAUUUAAUUUAAUGGGACCAAAUGGGGCUAAAUUGUUAAGUUCACUGUAGUCUGAUUUUUAACUACUUGGCUUAUCAGUUAGUCCAACGUGGCCAUCUUUGAC
rnacentral:lncRNA from 1 species